rnacentral:rRNA from 1 species
GACGGUAGGGCGCGAGCGUUGUCCGGAUUUAUUGGGCGUAAAGAGCUCGUAGGCGGCUUGUCGCGUCGACUGUGAAAACCCGCGGCUCAACUGCGGGCCUGCAGCCGAUACGGGCAGGCUAGAGUUCGGUAGGGGAGACUGGAAUUCCUGGUGUAGCGGUGAAAUGCGCAGAUAUCAGGAGGAACGACCGGUGGCGAAGGCGGGUCUCUGGGCCGAUACUGA